UGAUGAUGAUGAUGAUGAUGAUGAUGAUGGUGAUGAUGAUGAUGAUGAUGGAACAAUGCUGGUGAUGAUGAUGCUCAUCAUCAUCAUCGCCAUCAUUAGCAUCAUGACGAAAG
rnacentral:pre_miRNA from 1 species